GAUGAACGCUAGCGGCAGGCCUAAUACAUGCAAGUCGAACGGUGUCUUCGGACAUAGUGGCGCACGGGUGCGUACCACGUAUGCAACCUACCUUACAUUGGGGGAUAGCCUUUCGAAAGGGAGAUGAAUACCGCCUAAGACAGUCGCUGGGCAUCCAGCAGCUGUUAAAGAUCUAUCGAUGUAAGCUGGGCAUGCGUCCAAGUAGCUAGUUGGUGAGGUACCGGCUCACCAAGGCAAUGAUUGGUAGGGUAACUGAGAGGUCAAUCCACCACACUGGCACUGAGAUACGGGGCAGACUCCUACGGGAGGCAGCAGUAGGGAAUAUUGGGCAAUGGACGCAAGUCUGACCCAGCCAUGCCGCGUGCAGGAUGAAGGCGUUAUGCGUUGUAAACUGCUUUUAUACAGGAAGAAACGACUCUUGCGAGAGGCAUUGACGGUACUGUAUGAAUAAGCACCGGCUAACUCCGUGCCAGCCGCCGCAGUAACAC
rnacentral:rRNA from 1 species